UGGGCUGUAUGAUACGACCAGCGGCUAACACGGGAAGUGGCGUCAUUUUCCACAAAUCUCAUUUCGUUCACCCCAACUCAAAUAAAAGUGAAGUACAAUUAGGGAUUUAUCUUGCAUUUCCAUCGCCUCAGAAUAAAUUAACUUCGAUAAACUGAGAGAGAAUGAGUGAGGCAGCUGGAAGAAUUGAGGAUGAAAAUAGAGAUCAGAAGACUCGACGGAGCAAUCGUCUCCGUGCUCUAAGAGAAAUCGGAGAAUGUCCCAAUUAGUAUUUCAAGAAGACAUCACAAUUUUCGAAAAUAAUACUUUCCUUGCCUCGCAACACCGUUCCCUGGCAGCGUUCCCCGGCAGCGCGAGGCAAAGAUGUUUUCUGGGAAUGUGUGCCGUGUCCUCUCCCGGGCUUUUACGACUCCCUGGGCGCUACGAACCGUUCUGUACGUCGACAUCGCUGGCUGCGCACACGGCAAGCACGCAUAGAAGAAGCAGCUGCAACGAUGCCGACCACGUACAAUCCGUGGAAAGACGCAGACUUUCUCAAACUGAAGCCAGAUCUGGCGGAGAAGAUGGACAAUCGGACCAUGAGAGUCCUGUGCGGAUCCGAGCUCUUGAUCUCCAGUUCAGAUGAGAAGAAGCUCCUUGCAACAGGAGAGGAAAUAGAACACAACGACCUACUUCUCGACCUACUGCAGAAGGGGGAUGCUGACUCGUUUAGGAUAUUUGAUCGCAUGCUACGAUCAGACCGCAUUGUUAAGUUCAACUUCUCCGAAAUCUAUCCACGUCUUGACGUUAUUCUAGAACGCAUAGACAAGCACCGUCAGCAUGGCCAGGCUGCACCAACAGGAACAACGUCAGCAACGACCGGCCAAUCCCAGACUGAAUCUCAGCAGGGACGCGGAGCAACAACGGCAGAGAGUGUCAGUGAUGGCAGAAGGCAGCAAUCUAGCGACGGGGCAGGUUUGAAUACAUAGAGCUGAAGCCUUGUGACUGGCAGUAGGACGGUUAACAUGGUGGUCAUGGCAACUGAUAGAGUGAUCUGUUUCUCACAUACAUCCGCACACAACCACAGUCAUCGAUUUGUUCUUUCUAAAGAACUAUUUCUCCUACUUCUACUUCCAUGUACAUACGAUUACUUUUAAAUGAUUCACCUCCCACCGCUUAGUUAGGAGCUGCAUCUGCGCCUUGAUCCAAGAGGGUGCUGGUGUUCCUGCGGAUGUGGAAAACUCGACCUUUGGCCGUGAAACCGUGAAAUUUUUGUUCACCAGAUACUGUUUUCGCCUGGUACAUUUUCAAAGAUAAUUAUAUUUUUUUACGCCAUAGUUCACCAUGAGGGCUGUGUUAUCAAACCAGAAUGCUGGAUUUCCCCGCGCGUGCCCUUCGCUCCAUGCACAGUACCUGACCCAUGUGUAGAGUCUAGAUAGAUUGUUUGAGUUGUGUUGAAUUGUUGUUCAAUUUCUUUUUAUUCUCAAAAACAUAUCUCUACAUAGUAGGGCUGAAACGAUCAUGGAUUUUCACCUAUCGAUUACUCUUGAGCUUAACGAUCGAUUUAUCGAUUAUAAUCGUUAGCAGAUAGUGUCAGAAUUUUGUGUAAACAUUGCUCUGUUUCCGAAAUCUAAGCCAUUAUAAUACCACAAAUUUGCAUUAGUGACAGGGUAGCUCAGAAACAUGGUAGUUAUAAAGUCAAUAUAACCUCAGAAUGUGCACCAUGCCAUUGGCAACUGCAUACUCACAGUGGAAACUGAUUCAAACUUCACAAAAACGAGGGUUUUCAGUACUUUUUGGACUCAAAAUCCCUAACGAGUAAUCUAUAACGUAACGAUUACUUGAUUGAUAAGGAAUUAUCGAUCGAUUACCGAGUAAUUGGUAAAAUCGUUUCAGCCCUACUACAUAGUCUAUCUUGGUGACUUAGAACCUCGCUUUAGGUCCAUAUUUGCCAACGUGUCUAGUACUUCGAAGUACGUAUUUGAGCUUAGACCCUACUGGUAAAGCAGCGCACUAGUCCGACGUCAUCAUGUCGAAUAGCGGAACAUUUUUUUUAAAUUCUUUUCCGGUUGAACCGGUGUGCACAUGUGCUCGUAGCAUUAUCAGGUUCUGGGCGGCCUCAUUUCUGUCUAUCCCGGGGACUUGAAGUUCUCAGUCCUCUUUGGCUACCCUUUUUCUCAUUUUACGAUGCAUUUUCAAAGCCCAGCUUCUUUAAUUUCUUCUUUUACAGUAAAUAUCGGAUAUA